AUUGAACGCUGGCGGCAUGCCUUACACAUGCAAGUCGAACGGUAACAGGUCUUCGGAUGCUGACGAGUGGCGAACGGGUGAGUAAUACAUCGGAACGUGCCCGAUCGUGUGGGAUAACGAAGCGAAAGCUUUGCUAAUACCGCAUAAGAUCUACGGAUGAAAGCAGGGGACCGCAAGGCCUGGCGCGAACGGAGCGGCCGAUGGCAGAUUAGGUAGGUGGUGGGAUAAAAGCUUACCAAGCCGACGAUCUGUAGCUGGUCUGGGAGGACGACCAGCCACACUGGGACUGAGACACGGCCCAGACUCCUACGGGAGGCAGCAGUGGGGAAUUUUGGACAAUGGGCGAAAGCCUGAUCCAGCCAUGCCGCGUGCAGGAUGAAGGCCUUCGGGUUGUAAACUGCUUUUGUACGGAACGAAAAGACUCUUUCUAAUAAAGAGGGUCCAUGACGGUACCGUAAGAAUAAGCACCGGCUAACUACGUGCCAGCCGCCGCCGUAACAC
rnacentral:rRNA from 1 species